rnacentral:rRNA from 1 species
UUAAAUUGAAGAGUUUGAUCAUGGCUCAGAUUGAACGCUGGCGGCAGGCCUAACACAUGCAAGUCGAACGGUAACAGGAAGCAGCUUGCUGCUUCGCUGACGAGUGGCGGACGGGUGAGUAAUGUCUGGGAAACUGCCUGAUGGAGGGGGAUAACUACUGGAAACGGUGGCUAAUACCGCAUAACGUCGCAAGACCAAAGAGGGGGACCUUCGGGCCUCUUGCCAUCAGAUGUGCCCAGAUGGGAUUAGCUUGUUGGUGAGGUAACGGCUCACCAAGGCGACGAUCCCUAGCUGGUCUGAGAGGAUGACCAGCCACACUGGAACUGAGACA